AGAGUUUGAUCCUGGCUCAGAACGAACGCUGGCGGCAUGCCUAACACAUGCAAGUCGAACGCUUGUCCGGCUUCGGCCGGACAGGAGUGGCGCACGGGUGAGUAGCGCGUGGGAACCUGCCCUGUUGUGGGGGAUAACCGAGGGAAACUUCGGCUAAUACCGCAUGCGCCCGGGGAAACUCGGGGAAAGAUUUAUCGCAGCAGGAGGGGCCCGCGUCGGAUUAGCUAGUUGGCGGGGUAACGGCCCACCAAGGCUCCGAUCCGUAGCUGGUCUGAGAGGAUGAUCAGCCACACUGGGACUGAGACACGGCCCAGACUCCUACGGGAGGCAGCAGUGGGGAAUAUUGGACAAUGGGCGCAAGCCUGAUCCAGCAAUGCCGCGUGAGUGAUGAAGGCCUUAGGGUUGUAAAGCUCUUUCGCCCGCGACGAUGAUGACGGUAGCGGGAGAAGAAGCCCCGGCUAACUUCGUGCCAGCAGCCGCGGUAAUACGAAGGGGGCGAGCGUUGUUCGGAUUUACUGGGCGUAAAGGGCGCGUAGGCGGCCCUCCUUGUCGCGUGUGAAAGCCCCGGGCUCAACCUGGGAAUUGCGCGCGAAACGGGGGGGCUUGAGUUCGGGAGAGGAGCGUGGAAUUCCCAGUGUAGAGGUGAAAUUCGUAGAUAUUGGGAAGAACACCGGUGGCGAAGGCGGCGCUCUGGACCGAGACUGACGCUGAGGCGCGAAAGCGUGGGGAGCAAACAGGAUUAGAUACCCCGGUAGUCC
rnacentral:rRNA from 1 species